rnacentral:rRNA from 1 species
AUACGUAGGUGACAAGCGUUAUCCGGAUUUACUGGGCGUAAAGGGCGUGUAGGCGGUCUUGCAAGUCAGAAGUGAAAUUCCUGAGCUCAACUCGGGCGCUGCUUCUGAAACUGCAGGACUUGAGUGCUGGAGGGGAUAGCGGAAUUCCUAGUGGAGCGGUAAAAUGCGCAGAUAUUAGGAAGAACACCGGUGGCGAAGGCGGCUAUCUGGACAGUAACGGACGCGGAGGCGCGAAAUCUUGGGUAGCAAACAGGAUGAGAUACCCUGGUAUUCCACGCCGUAAACGAUGAAUACUAGGUGUAGGGGGUAUCGACUCCCUCUGUGCCGCAGUUAACACAAUAAGUAUUCCGCCUGGGGAGUACGGCCGCAAGGUUGAAACUCAAAUGAAUUGACGGGG